rnacentral:rRNA from 1 species
UUUUAUUUGAGAGUUUGAUCCUGGCUCAGGAUGAACGCUGGCGGCGUGCCUAACACAUGCAAGUUGAGCGAUUUACUUCGGUAAAGAGCGGCGGACGGGUGAGUAACGCGUGGGUAACCUACCCUGUACACACGGAUAACAUACCGAAAGGUAUGCUAAUACGGGAUAAUAUAUUUGAGAGGCAUCUCUUAAAUAUCAAAGGUGAGCCAGUACAGGAUGGAC